rnacentral:lncRNA from 1 species
AUGAGCAACCACUGUGCGUGUUCGCUGUCUCACCAACAAGCAGACUGCUGCGUCUCUUCGCUGCCUCGCAAAAGAGCACAUCACUGCGUCUAUUGGCCGACUCACAAAAAAGCAAAGCACAGCCGCUCUUCGCUGCCUCGCCAACAAGCAAAGCACUCGAUCUCUUCGCUGCCUCGCAGACUAAGCAACCGAUGCGACCCUUUGCCACCUGCCAAAGCACUGCGUCCCUCCGCCGCCUCACCGCCUGGCAAAGCGCCGUGUCUGCUCGCCACCUCACCACCUAGCACACCGCUGUGUCCCUUUUCCCCCUCGCCGCCUCUCAGAUCGCUUCGUCCCCUCGCACUCGCCGUCUACCAAAGCGCUGCGUCCCUCCCGCCCUCGCCGCCUGGCAAACGGCUGCAUCCUUCACCGCGUUGGCACCUCGCCGCAUCGCAGCCUAGCAAAGCGCUCGAUCUCUUCGCUGCCUCGCAAACUAAGCAACCGAUGCGACCCUUUGCCGCCUGCCAAAGCACUGCGUCCCUCCGCCGCCUCGCCACCUGGCAAAGCGCCGCGUCUGCUCGCCGCCUCACCGCCUAGCACACCGCUGCAUCCCUUUUCCCCCUCGCCGCCUCUCAAAUCGCUUCGUCCCCUCGUGCUCGCCGUCUACCAAAGUGCUGCGUCCCUCCCGCCCUCGCCUCCUGGCAAACGGCUGCGUCCUUCACCGCGUUGGCGCCUCGCCGCAUCGCAGCCUAGCAAAGCGCUGCGUGCCUUCGCUGCCUGGCAAAGCGCCGUGUCCCUUCGCUGCCUCGCUGCCUAGAAAAGCGCCGUGUCCCUUCAGCGCCUCGCCAACUAGCACAGCGCUGUGACCCUUGGACGCCUAGCAAAGCAGCGCGUGCCUUCGCCCCCUCGCCGCCUAAGAAAGCGCUGCGUGCCUUUUCGCCCUUGCCGCCUAGCAAAGAGCCGUGUCCCUUCGCCGCCUCGCCACCUACCAAAGCGCUGCGUCCCUCCGCCGCCUCACCGCCUGGCACACUGCUGCGUCCCUUCACCGCCUGCCAAAGCACUGUGUGCCUUCGCCGCCUCGCUGCUUAGCAAACACCCUAGUAGCGCCGAAGGGACACAGCGCUUUUGUAGGCGCCGAAGGCAUGUGGUGCUUUGCUAAGGCACGAGGCAGCGAAGCCACCAAGCGAUUUGGUAGUCGUCGACGGCAUACGGCGCUUUGCUAGGUGGCGAGGCAGCGAAUGCACGCAGCGCUUUGCUCGGCGUCGAGGAGUCGAAGGUAGGCGGUGCUUUGCUAGGAGCUGAAGGACCACGGCGCAUUGCUUGGCGGCGAAGGAACACGGAGCAUUGCUUGGCGGCGAAGGAAAACGGCGCUUUGCUAGGCGGCGAGGGCGAAAAGGCACGCAGCGCUUUCUUAAGCAGCGAGGCGGCGAAGGCACGCGCUGCUUUGCUAGGCGGCGAGGGCGAAAAGGCACGCAGCGCUUUCUUAAGCAGCGAGGCGGCGAAGGCACGCGCUGCUUUGCUAGGCGGCGAGGGUCACAGCGGUGUGCUAGUCGGCGAGGCGCUGAAGGGACACGGCAAUUUGCUAGG